CAGCCUUUACUAGCAUAAAACGAAAAUAAAAGUUUUAAAAAAAAUCAUUAGAUAUCAGAUUAUUUUUGGGGCAUUAAAAUUGAGACACAUAAUUGCAUUAACCAUUGAUGCUUAUAAACUCAAUUCGAAACAUAAAAAUGAAAUUGAACAUGAAUUCCAAGCUUCAAAAUUGCGAACCAAAGAAACACUUAUAAAAUGUU
rnacentral:lncRNA from 1 species